UCCAUCAUGCAGAUAACUCCUCAGAGUGAGCGAGACAGUGUGGUGCAGAAGAAAGGGAACCAAAAAAUGUCAUCUUUAUCGGCUACUCUGAAUCUCUUAAGACCCUCUCUGGCUCCAACGCCACCGUCCGUAAGGUUCUUUGGUGUGCGAAACUCUGCCUCUUCUUAUUCUACUUCCCGGAGACUCGCUCUCUUUCAGCUCGGCUCUGCUCUACCUCAAUCACAACUGUUAGGUGCAAAAGCAUCUGAGUUGCUAAGAGGAGAGGGAAACCCUUUAGAGGCUGCCCCAGUUGCGAAUUUGGCACAGGCAGGCACCGCUAUUGCCAAGGAAAAUGCACUGGAGUGGGUAAAAAAUGACAAAAGAAGAAUGCUUCAUGUUGUUUAUCGUGUUGGGGACUUGGACAAGACUAUAAAAUUCUAUACUGAAUGUUUGGGGAUGAAGCUGUUAAGAAAACGUGACAUACCUGAGGAUCGAUAUUCGAAUGCUUUUCUUGGAUAUGGACCAGAAGAAUCCAAUUUUGUGGUUGAACUUACAUACAAUUACGGAGUGGACAGGUACAACAUUGGGACUGGUUUUGGCCAUUUUGGCAUUGCAGUUGAAGAUGUAACCAAAACCGUGGAACUUAUAAAGGCAAAGGGAGGGAAAGUUACCAAGGAACCUGGUCCUGCCAAAGGUGGCAGUACAAUAGUUGCCUCUGUUGAGGAUCCCGAUGGCUACACUUUUGAGCUUUUGGAGAGAGGGCCUUCACCUGAGCCCUUCCGUCAAGUGAUGCUUCGUGUAGGUGAUCUUGACCGUGCUGUUAACUUUUAUAAGAAGGCUUAUGGGAUGGAACUUCUCCACAAGAGAGAUCAACCUGAAUACAAGUAUACUGUUGCCAUGUUGGGCUACGGUCCUGAAGAUAAGAAUGCAGUGCUUGAACUGACGUACAACUAUGGGAUCACAGAUUAUGACAAGGGAAAUGGUUACGCGCAGAUCGCAAUAGGCACAGAUGAUGUUUACAAGACUGCAGAAGCAAUCAAACUAAGUGGAGGGAAGAUUAUUCUUGAUCCUGGGCCUUUGCCAGGUAUCAACACAAAGAUAACUGCUUGCCUCGACCCUGAUGGCUGGAAAUCGGUCUUUGUUGAUAAUGCUGAUUUUCUGAAGGAAUUAGAGUGAAGAAAAGCAUCACCAACAACUAAAAAACUGAGCCUGUGGAAGAUUUGUAACAAUUUUGACUGUAAAUUAUCCUAACCUCCUAACGCUACUUAUCUUGAAGCAGCCAUGAGAGAACCUGUUUUUAUCCCAAAGUAUGCCCUUGGUUUGCUGCCAUCUUCUCUUUCCCUGCCGGGCCAAGCUGGGAUGUCACAGUAGACUCCAGAGACCACACCUGCAUGCAUCACAGCAUGGCAUCACGGUUGACAGGGUAGAAGUCGAUGUAAAAUGUUUGAUCAAGGUAUGAGAAUUUUCUUACAUUUCUUCUUUUUUGUAAAUGUUCCCGCAAUAUGCUUGCUUUUCAUUUUGGCUAAAACCUGUUAUUAUUCCACUUCUGAAUAAGUAUUUGGUGAUGCUGUUUUAGAAAUAGUAGGUCUAUAACUAAUCAGUAAAUCUUCAACUUAGAAGUUGAUACUCUUUUCCAAAUUUUCGUGUAUCGGGUAUUUUACCUGCCCAUUUGAGUUAGUAUUGAAAGAAACCCUCUUCCAGUGAA